AGAUUUUCUGAAAAUUACUGAUUUUCAUAUCAAUUUGGAAGGGACAUAAUAAAAAAUUAAACUAUUGCAUAUAUAAAUAUUUAUGAAUAUAGUAAUAAGCACAUAUUCCCACAAUUAUUCCAUCUGUUUUGUUUAAAUCGCAAUUUUAGGUUUAACACGACAGAAAAUCCAAUAUUUAUCGGAGUUGGAUGAUUAACAGUGUGAACUUAUCGAGGCAACAAGACAAAUUUUCAAAAGCAUUUGGAAGGGAGAAGACCAAAAUUUAAACUUUUUCAAAAGGC
rnacentral:lncRNA from 1 species